rnacentral:rRNA from 1 species
GGCUCCGGCUCCCGCUAUCGGAUGAGCCUAUGUCGGAUUAGCUGGUUGGUGAGGUAAAGGCUCACCAAGGCGACGAUCCGUAGCUGGUCUGAGAGGAUGAUCAGCCACAUCGGGACUGAGACACGGCCCGAACUCCUACGGGAGGCAGCAGUGGGGAAUAUUGGACAAUGGGGGCAACCCUGAUCCAGCCAUGCCGCGUGUGUGAAGAAGGCCCUCGGGUUGUAAAGCACUUUCAGUGAGGAAGAACGCCUGGUGGUUAAUACCCAUCAGGAAGGACAUCGCUCACAGAAGAAGCACCGGCUAACUCCGUGCCAGCAGCCGCGGUAAUACGGAGGGUGCGAGCGUUAAUCGGAAUUACUGGGCGUAAAGCGCGCGUAGGUGGCUUGAUAAGCCGGUUGUGAAAGCCCCGGGCUCAACCUGGGACGGCAUCCGGAACUGUCAAGCUAGAGUGCAGGAGAGGAAGGUAGAAUUCCCGGUGUAGCGGUGAAAUGNCNGUANGANGAUCGGGAGGAAUACCAGUGGCGAAGGCGGCCUUCUGGACUGACACUGACACUGAGGUGCGAAAGCGUGGGUAGCAAACAGGAUUAGAUACCCUGGUAGUCCACGCCGUAAACGAUGUCGACCAGUCGUUGGGUGCCUAGCGCACUUUGUGGCGAAGUUAACGCGAUAAGUCGACCGCCUGGGGANGUACGGCCGCAAGGUUAAAACUCAAAUGAAUUGACGGGGGCCCGCACAAGCGGUGGAGCAUGUGGUUUAAUUCGAUGCAACGCGAAGAACCUUACCUACUCUUGACAUCCUGCGAAUUUGGUAGAGAUACCUUAGUGCCUUCGGGAACGCAGAGACAGGUGCUGCAUGGCUGUCGUCAGCUCGUGUUGUGAAAUGUUGGGUUAAGUCCCGUAACGAGCGCAACCCUUGUCCUUAUUUGCCAGCGCGUAAUGGCGGGAACUCUAAGGAGACUGCCGGUGACAAACCGGAGGAAGGUGGGGACGACGUCAAGUCAUCAUGGCCCUUACGAGUAGGGCUACACACGUGCUACAAUGGUCGGUACAAAGGGUUGCCAACUCGCGAGAGUGAGCCAAUCCCGAAAAGCCGAUCUCAGUCCGGAUCGGAGUCUGCAACUCGACUCCGUGAAGUCGGAAUCGCUAGUAAUCGUGGAUCAGAAUGCCACGGUGAAUACGUUCCC